UACGGGGGGGGCAAGCGUUGUUCGGAAUUACUGGGCGUAAAGGGCUCGUAGGUGGCCAACUAAGUCAGACGUGAAAUCCCUCAGCUUAACUGGGGAACUGCGUCUGAUACUGGAUGGCUUGAGUUUGGGAGAGGGAUGCGGAAUUCCAGGUGUAGCGGUGAAAUGCAUAGAUAUCUGGAGGAACACCGGUGGCGAAGGCGGGUCUCUGGACAGUUCCUGACGCUGAGGCACGAAGGCCAGGGGAGCAAACGGG
rnacentral:rRNA from 1 species